AACGAACGCUGGCGGCAUGCCUAACACAUGCAAGUCGAACGAGACCUUCGGGUCUAGUGGCGCACGUGUGCGUAACGCGUGGGAACCUGCCCUUAGGUUCGGAAUAACUCCCCGAAAGGGGUGCUAAUACCGGAUAAUGUCUUCGGACCAAAGAUUUAUCGCCUUUGGAUGGGCCCGCGUUGGAUUAGCUAGUUGGUAGGGUAAAAGCCUACCACGGCGACGAUCCAUAGCUGGUCUGAGAGGAUGAUCAGCCACACUGGGACUGCGACACGGCCCAGACUGCUACGGGAGGCAGCAGUGGGGAAUAUUGGACAGUGGGCGAAAGCCUGAUCCAGCAAUGCCGCGUGAGUGAUGACGGCCUUAGGGUUGUAAAGCUCUUUUACCCGGGAUGAUAAUGACAGUACCGGGAGAAUAAGCUCCGGCUAACUCCGU
rnacentral:rRNA from 1 species